ACGGGUGAGUAACACGUAGGCAACCUGCCCUCAAGUUUGGGACAACUACCGGAAACGGUAGCUAAUACCGAAUAAUUGUUUUCUUCGCCUGAAGGAAAUUGGAAAGACGGAGCAAUCUGUCACUUGGGGAUGGGCCUGCGGCGCAUUAGCUAGUUGGUGGGGUAACGGCUCACCAAGGCGACGAUGCGUAGCCGACCUGAGAGGGUGAUCGGCCACACUGGGACUGAGACACGGCCCAGACUCCUACGGGAGGCAGCAGUAGGGAAUCUUCCGCAAUGGGCGAAAGCCUGACGGAGCAAUGCCGCGUGAGUGAUGAAGGUUUUCGGAUCGUAAAGCUCUGUUGCCAGGGAAGAACGCUUGGGAGAGUAACUGCUCUCAAGGUGACGGUACCUGAGAAGAAAGCCCCGGCUAACUACGUGCCAGCAGCCGCGGUAAUACGUAGGGGGCAAGCGUUGUCCGGAAUUAUUGGGCGUAAAGCGCGCGCAGGCGGUCAUUUAAGUCUGGUGUUUAAUCCCGGGGCUCAACCCCGGAUCGCACUGGAAACUGGGUGACUUGAGUGCAGAAGAGGAGAGUGGA
rnacentral:rRNA from 1 species